rnacentral:ncRNA from 1 species
CCAAGGGAACUUGGAGCCACACGCCGCCUUGCAGUGUUGGCUUUUCUGCCAACUGUGAAAUACAGCGGCAACACAUAGUAUGGCGAUUUCCAUUCGCCUGAAUCCGUGAAGCCGCAGUGGAAGUGUAGCAGCAAGGAGGCUACGGUGC